GGGGAAGAUUUGGGGAUGGAGGGGCGGUCUUCAAGAUUUGCUCCUCACUUGAAGAACAUACGAGGACACAAUGAGACCGACGCUCCUCAUCCUCACCCUGAACUUUGUAGCAUGUUUCUCCCAGCAGGUGACGGUCACCCAAGAUGAAAGCUUUGAAAAAGUCCAUAUAGGACAAAAAAUAACUCUUCACUGUAAAUACCAAGGCAGCGCAGGGACGUAUACCAUGUACUGGUACAAACAAAAACCAGGACAGGGUCUGGAGCUCAUGGGUUAUUCGCUGACAGUGAAAGAUUUUACGAAAGAAAAUAAUUUUAAGACCUUGUGGGAAAUGGAACGUCCUGAAGAUACAAAGUCCACUCUGCACCGGAACGAAACCUCCCCCGAAGAUUCAGCCGUGUAUUUCUGCGCAGCGAGUUAUCACAGCCACGAAAAGAUGAGACGACGCCGGCACAAAACCUGGAGCCCAUAG